GUCGCGUUAUGCCCUAGUUUCUCUUAUACUUUCCUCAACGAGUGCGACGAACGAGCAGGCCAUCAUGCCGAAGCAAAUUAGCGAAAUCAAGGAUUUCCUUCUCAUUGCACGCCGCAAAGAUGCUAGAUCAGUGAAGAUAAAGCGCAGUAAAGAUGUUGUUAAGUUCAAGGUCAGAUGCAAGAAAUAUCUUUAUACACUUCCCGUGUUCGACUCUGAGAAGGCCAACAAGCUCAAGCAAUCCCUUCCUCCAGGUUUGAUGGUUCAGGACUUGUGAGCUUUUCCUCCUCCUUGAUUGAGGAGUUUUUCAAUAUAUAGGGCUUUAAUGUGAAAGUGCGGUUUUUUUUAUUGGAUCCUAUUUAAAUAGUGACAUUGUUAUGGGAGUUUCAAAUUUUGGUUGAAAGCAAAGAAGUGGCACAGUAGUAUCUUAGUUUGAUUUCACCUUCCCAUAAUAUAUGGACUUAAGAAUUGCCAGGUGUAAGCAUGGAUUCACACUGA